UCUCUCUUUCUCCCGUAACUUCUUCCCUUUAUUCUCUCUUUCUCCCGUAACUCCCGUCACGCGCCUCAAUCUCGCCGCCGAUCUCCACGCCCCGCGCCGCCCCUCAAUUUGCUCCGCAGCGCCACCGAUUCCUAUCGCCCUCCUCCCCUCGCGAUUCCCUACCCGCCGCCCUCCAUCCCCGGCCUCGCGCCGCCGCCUCCCUCGCCGCCAAUCCCCAUCGACCGUCACCCGCACGUCUUCCGCGGCCACGCCACCGUCGAUCCCCGUCGAGCACGACCACGCCUCACGCCGAUCCUCCAUCGCGCGCCGCCACCGAUCCCCUCCCUCGCGACGCCGCCUCCCUCGUCGCCGAUCCCAUCGACCGUCGCCCGCACGUCUUCCGCGGCCACGCCACCGCCGAUCCCCAUCGACCACGACCACGCCGCCCGCCGAUCCGUAACAAGCCUGCCGCCAGGCCUGGGUUCCAGUCUUCGCCGACAAUGCCGGUGCCACCAUCCACCACCACCGGAUUGGAACCGCGCCUGGGCACCACCACCUUCGUGCCGCCUUUGUGAACCAAUUUCUUCACAUUCUUUGCAGCUCAUGAAUGCCUCAUUUCAAAACAAAAAAAACAUUAUCUAUUAUACCAUAAGAGCUCCCCUUUAGCAAUUGGUUAUAUCUUCAGUAAUGACAUUUGAACAUGGACAGAUAGAGGUACAAAUUAUAUGCCCUAAGAGCAUGCAAUUACUAAAUUUGGUAUGGAGUAGGGCAAGUAUAUAUAUAUAAAUUAGUUGUACGGAGUAGAACAGGUAUAUAAUGGGAUUCGUGUUUACCAUGCAAUUCUGAAUUGGUGAUGAAAUUUCAUAGGUUUUAUAUGUGUGAGUUUAUCACUGCUGCUGCUGAUGUUAUAGUUAAAUGAGGACCACUCUGUUAAUGUACUGGAAAUUGGAAACUACAAAUUUAUAUCACUGUUACAUGUUGAUAUUUAUAUAAAAUUCGACUUUUGAGUGUACAACCAGAACUCCGUAUAUUAAAGAUAAGACUCGUAUCAAAAGAAAAUGAGGUUGUCCUCGAAAACCCAUGUGCAAUAUUCACUAUUCAUAUCCUACAAAUUGAUUGAUGGUAUGGAGGGGGCUGGGCUUAGAAUUAUUAAUAUGGUCAACUCAGGCAAUCUUGCAUCUGGUUGCCAUCAGUGGGGCUUUCAUUCAGCAGAAAUUGUCUACAAAAUGCACCCUUUAUAUGUACCUGUUUGCACAUGCUUGUAGGUAUUCCAUGCAUGGGUUAUUUUAGCUGCACAUGUACCGCUCCAAUUUGAGCUAUUUUCAACUAAUUAAUUAUGUAGUUAUUCUCUUGAUUCUCUGAUCCCUCAAAUAUUAAUUAUUCUUUUUGCACCUUGUUUUUACCAAUAUAGCUACCUUAAACUGGUAUAGGAACUAAUAUGCUUUUUAAUAUUUCUAUACAUAUGCGUUAACUCAGAUAGUUGCCCUCCGUGUGUUGUUUUGUUAGCAGGGGCAAUAUCAAGAUAAACCUCAUAUUUCUAUCCUUUUGACAACAUCAUCUUUAUUAAUCUUAAGGUGCAUACAAGUGGUGAAAAUGUAUAUUUAGCUCAUAAGUUGUGACGGUUGGCUAAGUGUAGUAGAUGGAGUUGGCAGAUAGUUAUUGACGGUUGGCUAAGUGUAGUAGAUGGAGUUGGCAGAUGGUUAUUUGGAGGUGCGCGAAAAGGAUUCCAAGGUUCUCAACACAUAGGCUUUCAACUGGGAAAACAAGAACGGCUGGAAGAAGCAUUGCCGCGGGUUGCUACUUGGUCUUUUAGGUCACAAUUCUGGUGUUGGGAGUUGUUUAUUUAUUAAUGAUCAGCGAGUCUCUUGUUGCUACAACAGAAUGGUCUUGUGAUACAGACGAGAAGUCUCCUUCCAUUAACAAUAACACUGGUUGCACAUGCUCUGUCUUCCUGCAAAAGUGUUGUUGGCAUUUGUGAUUUUUGUAGUUGAUUUUACUGAUAAAAAGUGCAGAUCAUGCAAUUUAUUGAUAUGUUUGCUGGUUGAAAAAUUGAGAUUUGAUUUCUUAA